CAAAAUUGAAUGGAAAAUUACCAGGCAAGAGAUUAAGACAAAAACUGGUGCAGGAGCCAGAUACUAGGAGAGGGGAAAGGACAGACUCGAUGAGGAACUUGAGAGCCUUGGAAACAUCACCCUCACCGUGACAACUUAACCGUGCUGAGGAAGACAGGCAGUAAAAGCUGACAUUCCAAAAGGAAAUUAGGUGGGCAAGGAUCCAUGGUGCAGGUGGUGGAAUGAGCAUAUACCCGGCUCUUACUUGAACCAGUGACCUAGAAGGAGAUGCUCCAAGCCAACUAAAGCUUCAAACCAUAUUAUCAUUCUUGUACUAAUAUCUUUGUGGAUUUAUUAGUUUCAGAGCAUUUCAUUGUUAUUUGUUCACUACCUGAGGCUUUUUGAACUCAUUAUAGCUGCUGUUAUUAUAUAUUUCUGUACAAGAAAUGCAUAUCUGUCUCUGGUGUUCUUGCAGUAUUUUCCAUAAUAUUUCCCUGUAUCCUAUAUACUAUACUUUGUGUUAGCGAUGCAUGAUAUAACAGUAAGAUGUAAACCUUAUUAUAAUUCAUUUUUAUGAAUAUCAAUUUCUGUAUUUGAAAGUAUACAAAGAAUACUAAUCACUCAUAAAAACCAUGUAUUGCAUGCCUUUAGUCUCUUUGUCACAAAAAGACAUCUUUAUUUGCAUAUGUAUCUUCCUUCGUUGCUGUCUUCACAAUGGGAAGCUCAAACACUAUGAUUACUAAGGACGUCUCCUGUCCCACCAGAGGCUUUGGUAAAAUUGCUUUUUCCAAUUUUAUUUUUAUUUUGGGGAAAUUGGCCUUCCCU